rnacentral:lncRNA from 1 species
CUUGAAAGGCUUGUUCCUCUCCGAUUGAUCCAUCUGGGAGUAGCAAAACGACCAGAGAAGCUGAACCGAUUCUGAUUUCAAGAAGUUUCUCUGCACUCUUCACCCGUCAGGUAAUCGAACGCAGAUCCUACACAAAACGCUUCUAUCCCAAUCGCUAUUUGGCUCUGCGGACAAUUCCGGGUAUCCAAUAACCGCUUUUGGGAACAAACUUGUUGUUGUUGUUGUUGUUGUUGUACUCUCGGUCGCUGCUGCUACGUCGGAACAGCGUUUUGGGCGUUUGGUAUGGACGAACGGCGAUGAAUUCUCCGCUAGAUAUUGGCAUUCAAGCAUCGCGAAUGCUCUUUUUGCCAUUGAAUGGAAUCGAACUGUUGAUUUGGAAGUAGGAGGGUGUGAGUGGAUGUUGUUACGAUUGCAGCUUCUCUAUUAUUUAUAGGCGUGGAGAAAAAAAAGAUGUUCUAGUUUCGCUUGAAAAUGGAUAUUUUCCAUUUUUUGACAAAUAUUAUAGGAUAUUUUCCAUUUUUUUAUUAUUGUCAACAGAAUAAAUUAUGGAUAUUCAACUUUCUUUUCCUUCAAAAUAUUGAGCUUUUCCAAUUUAUAGGGACUAUAAAUAUUUCUGGUAACCAUCAAGGAACAUUAUGAAUAAAUAGGAAAAGAAUGAAUAGGAAUAAAAUAAAAUUUUGGGAAUGAGGAGGAAUGAAGCCUUAUCAAAUUUAACAAGGAACAAAUUAGCAUUAUAAUUCUCUACAAAAAAAAAAAAUGAGAAGGAAUGAACAAGAAAAAAUAUUAGUAUUCCUCUUUGUUCCUUUGGUUACUAUUCAAAACAUUUUUCGUCUUUGAUAACUAAUAAUUACUAACUUUUUUCUUAUAUUUUUGCUAAAAGAGCCAAACUAGGUCAUUAGAGAAAGAAACCCCAAAAUUUACUUUAUUUAUGUGUUAUAUGCAUGUUCUGAGCCGAAUUGAACCUGCUUCUUAUAGUUUUAAUCGGUUCCCAAUUUUGUUCCCUAGUGAUGACCAUGAAAGAGUAAAAGAUACAGUGCACCUUCCAUGAGCCAAUACCCAUGCUUAAGCUGAGAUGGGCUGCACAAAUAUUGUCUCCAUCUGAUGAAGGCAUGCUCUCCACUUUUGUGUGAUUAUGUGACUCGUACGGUACGGUACGAGAAUCUUCACGUAUUACAUAGUUAAAUCGGUGAUCAGGUUCGCCAAUGUUUCAUAGAUUCACGUUAAAGUGCCAAAUAUUCACUUUUUACCGUAUAUAUCUUUCAACCAAGGAAAGCCCUUCAAUGAUUAAGGUAAGAAUCUUCACGUAUUACAUAGUUAAAUCAGUGAAAAUCCCAAUGGUUUCCGAUAAUUUAAUGUUGCAAUUUAAGGAUGAUGCAUACCUGCCAGCCGAUGAACCUCUUGGGUCUAUAGAAGCAACCCUAACAGUACCUCAAACUUUUGGCUUUUGCCUUGCUUAUGAGAUAAACAGGGGCCACUGUUCAUGAGGUGUGGUAUGUGUUGGAACUUUUGGAUUUUGUAUUUAUGAAGUAAACGAUAAGACACAUUGUUGAGGCGGUUAUGAACUUUUAUUGUAGAAUAAAUUGAUAUAUGGUCUGGACAGUACAAUAUUGUUGGUACAGAAUUAUGGAAGCAUAUAUUCUUACAAGUUUACAUAUAUACUUUCACACGCAAACUAUGAAUCUUUUAUGGAAAACAACACAAGAAAUGAGAGUAAUAAUACUUUAAGAAAGUUUGAAAAAUAUGCAUAUAAUCUUGAUUAUACUUAAGCAGAAGGGAAGCUGCGUGAUGGAUCCCCAAGUGCAGCUACAUUUCCAGGACGUGAGAACACGUAACAAUCUUCAUGUAUUACAUAGUUAAAUCGGUGAAAUCCCAAUGGUUUCCGAUAAUUUAAUGUUGCAAUUUAAGGAUGAUGCAUACCUGCCAGCCGAUGAACCUCUUGGGUCUAUAGAAGCAACCCUAAGCCUCAUUACCUUUUUGGCUUUUGCCUUGCUUAUGAUAUAAAGAGGGGCCACUCUUCAUGAGGUGUGGUAUGUGUUGGAACUUUUGGAUUUUGUAUUUAUGAAGUAAACGAUAAGACACAUUGUUGAGGCGGUUAUGAACUUUUAUUGUAGAAUAAAUUGAUAUAUGGUCUGGACAGUACAAUAUUGUUGGUACAGAAUUAUGGAAGCAUAUAUUCUUACAAGUUUACAUAUAUACUUUCACACGCAAACUAUGAAUCUUUUAUGGAAAACAACACAAGAAAUGAGAGUAAUAAUACUUUAAGAAAGUUUGAAAAAUAUGCAUAUAAUCUUGAUUAUACUUAAGCAGAAGGGAAGCUGCGUGAUGGAUCCCCAAGUGCAGCUACAUUUCCAGGACGUGAGAACACUACCUGUAACGUUGGCCAAAACGCAUGAUCAAGUAUUCAAAUAAUGUCUUUAUUGAGUGACACUGAGCAAAAAGCAUGGUUAAUACUCAUAUGUGUAACCUGAUAGUUUCCAAGUGUAAGAGUCUUGAAACCAGCUGCACAGUAGUCAAAAUAAUAUUCCCAUGUUCUGAUGAAUUUAUCGUCGAAUCCAAGAUCAUUUAUUUGUCUGCGAAGAUAAUAAGUUGGACAUAUGAGAAAGCAUAUGAUUAUCAGAACAUAAAACAGAGGGAAUGUUUUUAGUAUUAAGCUUACUUCUGUCUCUCCAAGAAGGUCUUCCUCCACAAUCUCAAUGUUUGGUAGUAAUGAAUCCCAAUGUUCUCAACGUUUUCGAUGCUGAUUUUUAUUUGGGUGUAAGAAAGGUUGAAGGAAAGAGAAAGUAGAGAAAAUGCACUUGAAACUAAACACUAGAUAAAGAAAAGACUUUACCAUAGUCUAGAAGAAGAUGCCAUGGCUGAAGUAACUCUGGCUAAAGAAGGAAGGCAUCCACCAGGGAAUAUGUAUUCUUUUAUGAAAUCUGAACUUAGUCUGUACUCAUCGUAACGCUCCUCAGGUAUUGAUAUGAACUUUUAUGGUCAAAACAUUAUAAAAAAAAAAAAAAAAACUAUCAAUGGUUGUGAGAAAACAUGGGACUGGAAAUUGGCUUGAAGUGAAAAAGAAAAAGAAAAUGUUACCUGCAAUACAAAAAUGCCAUCUUCUGCAAGUGCAGCUUCACAAUGUCUGAAAAAUGUCUCCAUGAAUUCAUGGCCAACCGCUUCUAGCAUCUCACUGAAGUUUCCAAAAUGUAUUUUCAUAAGAUAGAUUACAAAUUCAUAUAUACAGCAGGUAAGAGAGACAAUAUAUUACCAAGAUAUAAUCCUGUCAUAUUUGUGAGCAUCAGAUAGUUGGCGAUAAUCGCAGAGCUUAAACGUAAUCCGAUCCUGGUGAUUAAGAUGUUAUAUUGUUAGUCAUAGGAUAUGGAAAUCAAUAACAAGAUCCAGAGAUGGAUUCUGUUAACCUCAAGUCCAGCUUCUUUCACUUUUUCUUCUGCAUACUUAAGUUGUUCAAUAGAAAGUGUGAUGCCAGUGUAUUUGCAUCCAGUUCUUUUCACAACUUCUAUGGCUAAAGUUCCCCACCCGCAUCCGAUUUCUAAAACCUCAUGAUUCUUCUCAAUCCUUGCCUAUAGUGAAAUGUUUUGCCACUAAAAACAGAGAAUAAAAGAAUCCUGGUUCUUGCUUUAAAUCAAGAAACACUCUUCUAUAGAUGUUACCUUAUCAAUCAGAAGAUAUAUUUUUCUCAUUUGUGCAGUUCUCAGAUCUUCAUCAGCCGACUAUAACAUGAAAAUGGAGAAAGGUUGCAAGUCAGAAUCAGAGAUAUUAACUGAAAAAAAUAAAAUAAUAUCCCACCUUGAAUACUGCAGAGGAAUAAGUCAUGGUAUCAUCCAGGAACAAAGCAAAAAGCUCAUUACUCUGCAUAAGUACCCAACCAUGAAGCAGAUCAAAAUCUCAGAGUAGAUAUGUUCGUUUGACACAUAGUGACUGUAGGGCACAAGAAAACUUACAAGAUCAUAGUGACGAGAAAUGUUCCUUCGAGCUUGAGUUAAUGUGUUUUGCCUAGAGACAUGCUUUAGAAAAUUAUUUGCAGAUGCUAAACUGGCAGUCAGAAACAUCGGUGUCCACCAUCCCCUAUGAGAUCAAACACAAGUU